CUCGCCGGAAGACCAAGGGUUCCUGUCCAACGUUAAUCGGGGCAGGGUGAGUCGGCCCCUAAGGCGAGGCUGAAAAGCGUAGUCGAUGGGAAACGGGUUAAUAUUCCCGUACUUGGAUAAACUGCGAUGUGGGGACGGAGCAGGUUAGGUUAUCGCACUGUUGGAUAUGUGCGUUUAAGUUUGUAGGUGGGAAGUUUAGGCAAAUCCGGACUUCUAUUAAACACUGAGAGAUGAUGACGAGGCUCUACGGAGCUGAAGUAACCGAUACCACACUUCCAGGAAAAGCCACUAAGCUUCAGGUUUAUCUAAACCGUACUGAAAACCGACACAGGUGGUCAGGUAGAGAAUACUCAGGCGCUUGAGAGAACUCGGGUGAAGGAACUAGGCAAAAUAGCACCGUAACUUCGGGAGAAGGUGCGCCGGCGUAGAUUGUAGUCCCUCGCGGGCGAAGGUUGAACCGGUCGAAGAUACCAGCUGGCUGCAACUGUUUAUUAAAAACACAGCACUCUGCAAACACGAAAGUGGACGUAUAGGGUGUGAUGCCUGCCCGGUGCUGGAAGGUUAAUUGAUGGUGUAAUCGAAAGAGAAGCUCCUGAUCGAAGCCCCAGUAAACGGCGGUCCUAAGGUAGCGAAAUUCCUUGUCGGGUAAGUUCCGACCUGCACGAAUGGCAUAAUGAUGGCCAGGCUGUCUCCACCCGAGACUCAGUGAAAUUGAAAUCGCCGUGAAGAUGCGGUGUACCCGCGGCUAGACGGAAAGACCCCGUGAACCUUUACUAUAGCUUGACACUGAACAUUGAAUUUUGAUGUGUAGGAUAGGUGGGAGACUAUGAAGAUGAUACGCCAGUAUUGUUGGAGUCGUCCUUGAAAUACCACCCUUUAACGUUUGAUGUUCUAACGAAGAUUACGAAACGUGGUCUCGGACAGUGUCUGGUGGGUAGUUUGACUGGGGCGGUCUCCUCCCAAAGAGUAACGGAGGAGCACGAAGGUUUGCUAAUGACGGUCGGACAUCGUCAGGUUAGUGCAAUGGUAUAAGCAAGCUUAACUGCGAGACAGACAAGUCGAGCAGGUACGAAAGUAGGUCAUAGUGAUCCGGUGGUUCUGAAUGGAAGGGCCAUCGCUCAACGGAUAAAAGGUACUCCGGGGAUAACAGGCUGAUACCGCCCAAGAGUUCAUAUCGACGGCGGUGUUUGGCACCUCGAUGUCGGCUCAUCACAUCCUGGGGCUGAAGUAGGUCCCAAGGGUAUGGCUGUUCGCCAUUUAAAGUGGUACGCGAGCUGGGUUUAGAACGUCGUGAGACAGUUCGGUCCCUAUCUGCCGUGGGCGCUGGAGAACUGAGGGGGGCUGCUCCUAGUACGAGAGGACCGGAGUGGACGCAUCACUGGUGUUCGGGUUGUCAUGCCAAUGGCACUGCCCGGUAGCUAAAUGCGGAAGAGAUAAGUGCUGAAAGCAUCUAAGCACGAAACUUGCCCCGAGAUGAGUUCUCCCUGACUCCUUGAGAGUCCUGAAGGAACGUUGAAGACGACGACGUUGAUAGGCCGGGUGUGUAAGCGCAGCGAUGCGUUGAGCUAACCGGUACUAAUGAACCGUGAGGCUUAACC
rnacentral:rRNA from 1 species